UGUUUGCUCCCGCAGGCAAGGACACCCUGUGCCCAGAGUUACAGAAGCUCCAGGGCCUGGCCAUGGAGCAACCCCACCCCCACGCCCACCACAAAGCCUGAGCCCGGCCCAAGGUGCUGACCUGCUCCCCUUCUCUGGCCAGCUGGAAUGGGCCACUGCUAGCCCCCUUGGGUGGAGAGGGGAAAGCAUAGGGGCUGGGAGGGGGAGCAGAGGAUAGUGUAGGGCAGGGUGGGGAGCAGAGGGCCCAGUGGUGCCCUGGGGUUUAUAACUUCUGGCACUGGAGGGCUGAACUGGGUUUCCUAGGGGACGAGUUGGGGGCACAGAGUAGUGUAAAGUGGGGAGGUUUGGGGCUGGCAGGUAGAAUAGGGCAGUGGGGGGGUGGGGAGGAGCUGGGGUGCGGGUGACAGGCUGGCAGGUGGCACAGGGCAUGGGGGGGGGUAGAGAGGAGCCGGGGGUGCGGGUGAUGGUCUGGCAGGUGGCACAGGGCAGUGGGGGGGUAGGAAGGAGCCAGGGGUGUGGGUGACAGGCUGGCAGGUGGCACAGGGCAGUGGGGGGGGUAGAGAGGAGCCAGGGGUGUGGGUGACAGGCUGGCAGGUGGCACAGGGCAGUGGGGGGGGUAGGGAGGAGCCGGGGGAGCGGGUGACGGGCUGGCAGGUGGCACAGGGCAGUGGGGGGGGUAGGGUGGAGCCGGGGGAGCAGGUGAUGGUCUGGCAGGUGGCACAGGGCAGUGGGGGGGGGUAGGGAGGAGCUGGGGGAGCGGGUGAUGGUCUGGCAGGUGGCACAGGGCAGUGGGGGGGGUAGGGAGGAGCCAGGGGUGUGGGUGACAGGCUGGCAGGUGGCACAGGGCAGUGGGGAGGGGUAGGAAGGAGCCAGGGGAGCGGGUGACGGGCUGGCAGGUGGCACAGGGCAGUGGGGGGGGGUAGGGAGGAGCCAGGGGUGUGGGUGACAGGCUGGCAGGUGGCACAGGGCAGUGGGGGGGGUAGGGAGGAGCCGAGGGAGCGGGUGACGGGCUGGCAGGUGGCACAGGGCAGUGGGGGGGGGGGAGGAGCCGGGGUGCAGGUGAUGGGCUGGCAGUGCCAGCCAUGCUGAUAGGGUUCUCAGAAGAGAACAGGCCGUGCUGCGACACCGUCACCCUGAGGCUGGCAGGUGGCCACGCAGCCUGGAUCCCUGAGCCCUGCUUGGCAUGAUCCUCCAGCUGCAGGAUCCUGGCUCUGGGCAGGGUCUGCCCCAUGCCACAGGGACCCAGCAGGAGCCGUCCUUCUCCACCCCUUCCCGUCCCCUUUCGGGGAGUCAGGGGGCUGGGGGCUGUGCCCCUCCUGGCUUGAUGUGGGUUCUGUUACAGUUUGGUUCGCUGGCUCUCAGCACCCCACUGUACACAUUGUUCCAGGCCCCCUGGGGGAGCUUGUCCCUCAGACUCACAGAUAAUCAAAGAGGGACACACUUCCCAGCCUCUUCCACUUGAGAUACCCCACCCAGAAAUUGUGCACUGCUCAA